GUUUAGUUUAGGAACAGCCCUUCAGUUGACCACGAGAGAUGGAGGGAGGAGGUCACGCGCUCUUAGGUCGAGACUUUCAUCCUGACGCAGGCGGUAAGUCUCCUCCUGCGUGUGGGCGUCUGAGGGCUUGUUCCUGAGGGCGUUGGGGCGUGGGGAGGGCGCGGGAGUGGCCUGGCUAGGAUGGUUGAGAGUGAUGCUGCCCACAGACCCCCAGUUGUGCAUUAUAGCUGAGUACCUCUUGUGUGACUGUCAAAAGAAACGAGAGGUGAAGUUGUCUCAAGAUCAGGAUCAAGUGAGGGCCUUAAAAUUGUUGAUGACGAUGAUGGUGGUGAUGGUGGUGGUGUGUUGAGGCAUCGAGUGUGGAGAGUCAACAGAGGGCCACAAGACUGCCACUUCUACACAUCUUGUCACUGAGGCUUCAAUGAUACCUGAGAAGCCUCGCCCAACUGACACCGCCUGUGCUGAACGUCAAUUAAAGUGUCUCAGGUGUUCAGCGUGUUAUGUUAAGGUCAAACACCUGUCCGCACCUUCACUACCUCCAAAGGCUUAACCCUUUAGUACCAUGACGCGUUUCCACAUUCAUUAUGUUGGGGAUUAAAGUAGUGAAUACUCUG